ACACAUAUACAUAUAUGACAGGAAGACCAGGUGCUCGAUUCUACGCCCUGGCACAGAGUUACUGGGACUAUGUGGUGACAGGUUUACUCUUGAUGUGGCUUGUCUGUGAUAUGAUGCAUUCCAUGAGAUCAUAUUUUACUGAGAUGUUUUACUGUUCUACUCACUGGGCUAUAGAGCUCAUCCCACUCCCUUAACCCCAGUUUUGCAGGUUCAGUGUACAGUGUACAGGGACAGUCCAGCAGAGUACAGGAA
rnacentral:lncRNA from 1 species